CUAAAAGUUUGAAACUGUUGAUUUUGCCCCCCAGUGAGACAGCGAUAUAUCUGCGGACUUACAACGCUAGAAACCGAGUUUCGAUACCGUGGUGGGCAAAGCACAGAUAGCCUAUUGUGUAGCUUUGUGCUUAACUUCAAACAAACA